UCCUUAGAUGUCCUGGGCCGCACGCGCGUUACACUGAUGCAUUCAACGAGCUUAUAACCUUGGCCGAGAGGCCCGGGCAAUCUUGUUAACGUGCAUCGUGAUAGGGAUAGAUUAUUGAAAUUAUUAAUCUUGAACGAGGAAUUCCUAGUAAACGCAGAUCAUCAAUCUGCAUUGAUUACGUCCCUGCCCUUUGUACACACCGCCCGUCGCACCUACCGAUUGGAUGGUCCGGUGAAGCCUCGGGAUUGUGGUUCUUGCCGCUUUAUUGUGGCGUGACCGCGAGAACUUGUCUAAACCUUAUCAUCUAGAGGAAGGUGAAGUCGUAACA
rnacentral:rRNA from 1 species